CGUCUACUCUUGGCCAGCCUUCUGAAAGGAAGAUUAAUCCAGGAUGGCAUCAUGAGUUCACAUGUCCGCAUGAUUAAAGGUAUUUUCCGGUAGACGAUGGGGAUGCGUUCCAUUAGGCAGUUGGUGAGGUAACGGCUCACCAAACCUUCGAUGGAUAGGGGUUCUGAGAGGAAGGUCCCCCACAUUGGAACUGAGACACGGUCCAA
rnacentral:rRNA from 1 species